UUUUUGUUUUCAAAUGUGUUCAUAGAUAUUUCAGUCAGAGAAGCUAAUAUACAUAUACACGUAUUUUACUAUAUUAAUGGGAAGUCUAAUUAUUAAUUGCUCCAAAUUCUUUUUAUAAAAGGAGAGAUGCUACCGCCUACACGGACAGAAGGAUGGAACCAAAGACCCUCAACACGAACCCGUCAAAAAACCAGGCCAUCCUGCAAAGAGUGCGUCAUCAUUGGCGCCUUCUUUGUAAUUGUGUGUGCGAAUUCUGUUCUGGAAGGAUUAGCUGAAUUAAAAAUAAAAGAUACUCGUGUGUCCUAGAAAAAGAGAAAGUCUGCACAGCACAUUCCGAUCAUCCAGUCAGACCGAUUUAUCUUUCAAAUAAGUUUCAAGUAAGCAUCUGAUAUCCCGAAAUGUUUUCCUUUACAAAGAAUUACGUGAUUGCAUAUGCGAUUCUGUGUGACCUUAUCCUUUGCAUCAGCAACUGUCGAAGGAAAAUAGUCAAGGCGGACUCUACGGAAAAUGGCAGCGUCGCCUAAAACUGCAAUUCGUCAACUGGAAAAGGAAGAGACACACAAACAUGCAAACAGAAAAAGAGAGAUAAGAGAGGGUGGCAGAAAUAAGAGGCGGGAAGCAAAGAAAUGCAAAAGCACUGUAGCUUUUGAACCAGAAAAGUCAUUCACAUAAUACUUGUUUUUGCAUUGCAUUUCAAUAUUUCAAGUUAUUUGUGGUUUGAGAUAACUCCUUUCAAAUUUUUAAUGAAAUUAAAUUUAAUGAAAAUUUUCAA